rnacentral:rRNA from 1 species
CCUACGGGAGGCAGCAGUGAGGAAUAUUGGUCAAUGGUCGAGAGCCUGAACCAGCCAAGCCGCGUGAGGGAGGAAGGCACUGGGUAUCGUAAACUUCUUUUGUAGGGGAAUAAAGAAUGGUACGCGUCCCCGGAUGCGUGUACCAGAAGAAUAAGGAUCGGCUAACUCCGUGUCAGCAGCCGCGGUAAUCCGGAGGGUCCGAGCGUUAUCCGGAUUUAUUGGGUUGAGAGGGUGCGUAGGGGGGGCGUUAAGUCCGGCGUGAAAGCUCAGGGCUUAACCCUGGUACUGCCGUUGAAACUGGGAGUCUCGAGUAGGGGAGAGGUAGGCGGAAUUCGUGGUGUAGCGGUGAAAUGCGUAGAUAUCACGAAGAACUCCGAUUGCGAAGGCAGCAUGCUGGAUCGAAACUGACGCUGAGGCUCGAAAGCGUGGGUAUCAAACAGGAUUAGAUACCCGAGUAGUC